rnacentral:rRNA from 1 species
UACGUAGGGACCAAGCGUUGUUCGGAUUUACUGGGCGUAAAGGGCGCGUAGGCGGCAAUUCAAGUCAGUUGUGAAAUCUCCGAGCUUAACUCGGAACGGUCAACUGAUACUGUUUUGCUAGAGUACAGAAGGGGCAAUCGGAAUUCUUGGUGUAGCGGUGAAAUGCGUAGAUAUCAAGAGGAACACCUGAGGUGAAGACGGGUUGCUGGGCCGACACUGACGCUGAGUGCGCGAAAGCCAGGGGAGCAAACGGG